rnacentral:rRNA from 1 species
AGUGAACGCUGGCGGUAGGCCUAACACAUGCAAGUCGAACGGCAGCACAGUAAGAGCUUGCUCUUACGGGUGGCGAGUGGCGGACGGGUGAGGAAUACAUCGGAAUCUACUUUUUCGUGGGGGAUAACGUAGGGAAACUUACGCUAAUACCGCAUACGACCUACGGGUGAAAGCAGGGGAUCUUCGGACCUUGCGCGAUUGAAUGAGCCGAUGUCGGAUUAGCUAGUUGGCGGGGUAAAGGCCCACCAAGGCGACGAUCCGUAGCUGGUGUGAGAGGAUGAUCAGCCACACUAGAACUGGAACACGGUCCAGACUCCUGCGGGAGGCAGCAGUGGUGAAUAUUGGACAGUGGGCGCAAGCCUGGUCCAGCCAUACCGCGUGGGUGAAGAAGGCCUUCGGGUUGUAAAGCCCUUUUGUUGGGAAAGAAAAGCAGCAGGUUAAUACCCCGCUGUUCUGACGGUACCCAAAGAAUAAGCACCGGCUAACUUCGUG